rnacentral:misc_RNA from 1 species
UAAGGGAAGAUAGGUUUUAUUAACGAAAACCCUCCUUACAAAUAAGUCCCGUAGAGCUUAAUGGGACUAAUUAUCGAGCAUGUUCUAGGUUUUGUUUAUUAUUCAUCCAAGCUAGAGGAUUGCAGGGGUAUAUUACCGGCGAUAACCAUAAACCAAAAACUACCAGUUCCACCUACAAUCAAUGGGAAUCCAAAAAUUCACUUGUG